rnacentral:rRNA from 1 species
AUUGAACGCUGGCGGAAUGCUUUACUCAUGCAAGUCGAGCGGCAGCACGGGGGCAACCCUGGUUGCGAGCGGCGAACGGGUGAGUAAUACAUCGGAACAUGCUCAGUCGUGGGGGAUAACACUUCGAAAGAAGUGCUAAUACCGCAUACGUCCUGAGGGGGAAAGCGGGGGAUCGCAAGACCUCGCGCGAUUGGAGUGGCCGAUGUCAGAUUGGCUAGUUGGUGGGUUAAAGGCCUACCAAGGCAACGAUCUGUAGCUGGCCUGAGAGGAUGAUAAGCCGCACUGGGACUGAGACACGGCCCAGGCUCCUAAGAGAGGCAGCAGUGGGGAAUUUUAGACAAUGGGGGCAACCCUGAUCCAGCCAGUCCGCGUGAGUGAAGAAGGCCUUCGGGUUGUAAAGCUCUUUCGGCAGGAACGAAACGGUGAGCUCUAACAUAGCUUGCUAAUGACGGUACCUGAAGAAGAAGCACCGGCUAACUACGUG